ensembl:snRNA U6 U6 spliceosomal RNA
GGGCUCACUUCGGCAGCACAUAUACUAAAAUUGGAACGAUAUAGAGAAGAUUAGCAUGGCCCCUGUGCAAGGAUGACACGCAAAAUUCGUUUCGGAGUGUUCCCUCCUCUU